rnacentral:rRNA from 1 species
ACUACGUGGCACACGGCUCAGUAACACGUAGUCAACAUAACCGAAGGACGUGGAUAAACUCGGGAAACUGAGGCUAGACCGCGAUAGAUCAAGAUACCUGGAAUGGUUUUUGAUCAAAAUCUAUAUGGCCUUUGGAUUGGACUGCGUCCGAUCAGGCUGUUGGUGAGGUAAUGGCCCACCAAACCUGUAACCGGUACGGGCUCUGAGAGGAGGAGCCCGGAGAUGGGUACUGAGAAAAGGACCCAGGCCCUAUGGGGCGCAGCAGGCGCGAAACCUCUGCAAUAGGCGAAAGCCUGAUAGGGUUAUUCUGAGUGACUUUCGCUAAGAAAGUCUUUUGACACCUCUAAAAAUGGUGUAGAAUAAGGGGUGGGCAAGUCUGGUGUCAGCCGCCGCGGUAAUACCAGCACCCCGAGUGGUCGGGACGAUUAUUGGGCCUAAAGCAUCCGUAGCCGGUUUUACAAGUCCUCCGUUAAAUCCAGCUGCUUAACAGAUGGGCUGCGGAGGAUACUAUAAGACUAGGAGGCAGGAGAGGCAAGCGGUACUCAGUGGGUAGGGGUAAAAUCCGUUGAUCCAUUGAAGACCACCAAUGGCGAAGGCGGCUUGCCAGAAUGCGCUCGACGGUGAGGGAUGAAAGCUGGGGGAGCAAACCGGAUUAGAUACCCGGGUAGUCCCAGCUGUAAACGAUGCAGACUCGGUGAUGGACUAGCUUUAUGCUAGUCCAGUGCCGCAGGGAAGCCGUUAAGUCUGCCGCCUGGGUAGUACGGUCGCAAGACUGAA